AGGGCGUCUUCGAAGAUCCCCAGGCCUGCUCUUCCGUGGCCUGGAGAUUCAAAGCGACGCCCAGAACAAGCCCGCAGUCUGUCCGCCAGCGCCCGGCCCACGGGCGGGCCUGCGUAUCUGGUCGGCGUACGUUU
rnacentral:ncRNA from 1 species